rnacentral:rRNA from 1 species
AUAAACAAACACACAAAGCCUGAUCUCAUCUGACCGUGGAAGCAAAGCAGAGUUGGGCCUGGUUAGUACUUGGUUGGGAGACUGAAAGGGAAUACUAGGUGCUGUAAGCU